rnacentral:rRNA from 1 species
UACGUAGGUGGCAAGCGUUGUCCGGAUUUAUUGGGCGUAAAGAGCUCGUAGGCGGCCGUCCACGUCGGAUGUGAAAGCUCGGGGCUCAACCCUGAGAGGCCAUUCGAUACGGGACGGCUAGAGGCAGGUAGGGGAAAGUGGAACUCCUGGUGUAGCGGUGAAAUGCGCAGAUAUCAGGAAGAACACCCGUGGCGAAAGCGGCUCUCUGGAACGGUACUGACGCUGAGACGCGAAAGCGUGGGGAGCGAACAGG